GUUGGAUGUGGAAGCAUAGUGAUAUGUGAAGCUGACCAAUACUAAUUGCUCGUGAGGCUUGACUAUACAACACCCA
rnacentral:rRNA from 1 species